UUGUUCAUCGAGCAAUGUUUCAGAAAAAAUGAGGACAUACAAGGCACUGUUUCCAACUAAAUCUUUUAUCCAAGAAAACCAAUAUACAGUAAACUACCACUUGAACGUCACUUAAGCAAAUUAUUCAGCUGUACGAACUUUUUUUGUAUCCCCCAUCGAAACCCCUUUCAACCCAAUGCAAAUGCCUUUCAGUUUAACAAAAUUCAGUACAGUGGCAUUUCAGUUCUGUGAUCAUAUUCUGCUACAUCAUCAUCAUCAUGAUUUUUAUUUUUACCACUGGAUACAAGGUGAAAAAGGGAGAGCCGGGAAAAAAGCCGAAAUCUCUUCGGCUUGACAAAGUUCCGGUCUCCCAGACAGGCACGGAAGCGGCUGGUGUAGCAAUACAAUUACGCAGAAAGUGUGGAUAUAAGAGUUUUUUAAACACAAAUACAUAUAGAAAUUUUCAUGUUAUUACAUGGAAACUAGUUGUAAUACAGUUGUGUCAAAUGACUCCCAGUAUACAAUUAUAAUCUGUUAUCUUGCAUAUUAUUAUUUAACACAGACUCAGUUGCAUAUAUCAUAGUGGACUUGGAAGCACCGAACGAGUACGGAUGCUGAUCAAAUUUUUUCUGAUCGCACAGAUCGUGCUGUCGAGGACCGGAUUCGUCGACGCAGGGUCUGAGCAUGCACUGCAUCAGGCCUAUCUACUGCUACCUCCGGCUGUCUGCCCUGCUGGCUUCAUCGGACAAAACAAGUCGCAGGAAGCUGUACCACGUGCACUGCACUGGGACCACCUGACCAGCACGGUAACGUCGACGGAGACAUCGUGGCACCCGGAUAAAAGCAGCAGCCUUUUCGACGUUCCCUUCAGUGGACUUGGAAGCACCUAACGAGCACGGAUGCUGAUCAAAUUUUUUCUGAUCGCACAGGCGAUCUUUGGAAACUUCAGUGAUACCUGACGACUGGCGAAGGGCCAAAGUAAUACCUGUGCACAAAUCUGGCUCUAAACUCGACUUUCUUCCUCUGGGCUUAAGUGGGACGCUUCUCCAUCAUUGGUGCGAAAGUGCCUCCAGAACCUUCCGGGAUUAUUACGGCCGUCUCGUGCUUCUGAAAAGAGCUUGCGGUAUUGGCGUGAACAGACAGGCAAGUGGACGUAUUUAUUCUACAGUUAUUGAACAGUUACUUAUCGAUACAUCUUGAAGUUAGCCUACAAGCUGUCGUUAAAAGUUCCGUCUUUCAGUAGACCUUGUGCAGCGUACUCUCAGCUCAAUACGAAAUUCUUGACUGCGUUCUCGAGUUUUGUUUAACGGUAAUGAGAAGGAGUUAGAUAAUGCACAGAGGCAAGGUUUUGUCUGGUCUUGCAGGAGUCCCAGGUGCUUUUUCCGCCGCGUACACUGUCGCAAUCGUUACACGUCUGAGGAACCAGACUGGCGGCGCAUAGGUAAAGCCGGCUGCCAGUGCAAGCCGCAGUCCCCUACAUUGUCGCUAUAAAGAGGAAAUUUGUACGUGUACUAAGUGUACGCAACGUUUCUUUGUUUAGUAUAAUUUGGCGGUGCCUCCAGCCUCCGCGUGGCGGGCGCGUUUAAGAGAAAGCUUUAGCUCGGGUGUUCCAAUCUAAAUACAUGUAAACGCAGUAUUCGUUUUUCUCGGCAACCACUGCACCAAAUUUGACGAGGUUUGUUACAUUUAAAACAAAAGCUUAGAAUCUAGAAUUUCUGCUGGGUACACAAAAGAUUUAAGCGAAACAACUGAAGCAAAGCGGGGCAUGGUGCUUUCAGUGCCCAAUUUUUUUAUAGAACAUGUAGUUUUCAAUUAUAAAGGGGACUGUAAUGUGAUGUCUUUAAGUAGGGGGUUGUCUUAUAUUCAGAGUCGACUUAUGUUUCAAUAUGAACGGGAAUGAAGUGUUACGCAAUUCUGUUAAUGAAAUUUACCUCUGCUGUUUAGUUUCCAUAUUGUGCGUAGAAGCAACAGUGCGUGCACUUUCAGCUGCUCAGUUUAUCUUCAAUGCUGCUCUCAUUUUGUAGAGUUCAUCACUUGUGCAUGUGCAACACAUUGGCGGAGGCAAUACGAACUGCAUUUCUCACUAGCUGGACAAGUCGGAAUGGCAAUGCACCUUGGAGAACAAGACUCGAAUUGUGAAAGUCUGAAUUAAUAUAUUUUGAUU